rnacentral:rRNA from 1 species
AUUGAACGCUAGCGGGAUGCCUUACACAUGCAAGUCGAACGGAGUGGCGAACGGGUGAGUAAUGUAUCGGAACGUGCCCAGUAGCGGGGGAUAACUACGCGAAAGCGUAGCUAAUACCGCAUACUAUUGGAGCGGCCGAUAUCGGAUUAGCUAGUUGGUGGGGUAACGGCUCACCAAGGCGACGAUCCGUAGCUGGUUUGAGAGGACGACCCGCCAAACUGGGACUGAGAACCGGGCCAGACCCCUUAGGGAGGCCGGAGGGGGGAAGUUUGGACAAUGGGGGAAACCCUGAUCCCGCCCUCCCGCGUGUGCGAUGAAGGCCUUCGGGUUGUAAAGCACUUUUGGCAUGAAAGCGGUACCUGCAGAAUAAGCACCGGCUAACUACGGGCCAGCAGCCGCGGUAAUUC